rnacentral:rRNA from 1 species
UGAGGAAUAUUGGUCAAUGGACGGAAGUCUGAACCAGCCAAGUAGCGUGCAGGAUGACGGCCCUAUGGGUUGUAAACUGCUUUUGUAUGGGGAUAAAGUUAGGGACGUGUCCCUAUUUGCAGGUACCAUACGAAUAAGGACCGGCUAAUUCCGUGCCAGCAGCCGCGGUAAUACGGAAGGUCCAGGCGUUAUCCGGAUUUAUUGGGUUUAAAGGGAGCGUAGGCUGGAGAUUAAGUGUGUUGUGAAAUGUAGACGCUCAACGUCUGAAUUGCAGCGCAUACUGGUUUCCUUGAGUACGCACAACAUUGGCGGAAUUCGUCGUGUAGCGGUGGAAUNUGCUUAGAUAUGACGAAGAACUCCGAUUGCGAAGGCAGCUGACGGGAGCGCAACUGACGCUUAAGCUCGAAGGUGCGGGUAUCNNCAGGAUUAGAUACCCUGGUAGUCCGCACAGUAAACGAUGGAUGCCCGCUGUUGGUACCUGGUAUCAGCGGCUAAGCGAAAGCAUUAAGCAUCCCACCUGGGGAGUACGCCCGGNNCGGU